rnacentral:rRNA from 1 species
GGUUAAGAAACAAAGGGCGCACGGUGAAUGCCUUGGCACUAGGAGCCGAUGAAGGACGUGACGAACGACGAAACGCUUUGGGGAGCUGUAAGUAAGCUAUGAUCCAGAGAUAUCCGAAUGGGGGAACCCACUGCUAAAUGCAGUACGCGAAAGCGAGGAAGACGCAGAGAACUGAAACAUCUAAGUACCUGCAGGAAGAGAAAGAAAAAUCGAUUCCCUAAGUAGCGGCGAGCGAAAAGGGAAGAGCCCAAACCAUUGUGCAUGCACAAUGGGGUUGUAGGACUCCGAUAUAAGACUGAAGUGAGUAGUAGAAUCUGAUGGGAAGCAGAGCGAGACAAGGUGAGAGCCCUGUAUACGAAACUGACUGACGCUUUAGGAGCAUCCUGAGUACGGCGGGACACGAGAAAUCCCGUUGGAAUCCGCCAGGACCAUCUGGCAAGGCUAAAUACUCCCUAGUGACCGAUAGUGAACCAGUACCGUGAGGGAAAGGUGAAAAGCACCCCUGGAGGGGAGUGAAAGAGUACCUGAAACCGUGUGCCUACAAGUAAUCAGAGCCCGUUAAGGGGUGAUGGUGUACCUUUUGUAGAAUGGACCGGCGAGUGACGAUAACAUGCGAGGUUAAGUUGAAGAAACGGAGCCGAAGCGAAAGCGAGUCUGAAUAGGGCGAAAGUAUGUUGUUGUCGACCCGAAACCAAGUGACCUACCCAUGAGCAGGUUGAAGGUGUGGUAAGACACACUGGAGGAC